ensembl:miRNA Gm25193 predicted gene, 25193
UAGAGACAGGCAGAUCUCUGUGAGUUCGAGGCCAGCCUGGUCUACAGAGUGAGUUUCAGGACAGCCAGGGCUACACAGAGAAACCCUGUCUAGAAAG